AUGUCGGAUUAAGGUUGGAAUUUUGGGCGUUCGAUGAACCUUCACUCAAAUUUAUCAUCGCGGAUAUAGCUGAUGUUUAUUGGUACAAAUGUGGGCACUACAAAAGGCUAUAAGUAAUAGCGGCUAUCGGAUGGUCGAGAUGUUGAUGACAACGAAUUCAGGUUCGAUAACGAAUCCACGGUCCACGGGAUGACGAAUGCAAUGUGAUACACGAAUAACUCCACGUACAAGUAAAAUUUAUCUGCAUGAACUCCAAAAAAAAAAAAACUCCAAGUGGAACUGCCCUUAUAUAUUCCUCUCUCCACCUCUCGGAUCAAUCUUUGUUUUUAGGGAAAGCCAUAUAAUCAUUCCAUAUCUCUGUCAGGUACACAUCCCUUCCGUGACCGUGGCUACGUUCAGUGAACCGCUAUGUCACUUAGAGCCCAAGCCCAUAGUCAUAAAGCCGGAUUGGAACAUUAAAACUAUUUCUUACUUUUAUUACUUAAGUGUAGCUAUAGUAAAAAUCUGAACCAGGGUAUUGGAGUUUUUCCCAACAUUCCAAAAGGGAAGUCCCGAUGUCCUUUCAUCUCCGACAUAUAUACCAACUGGGAACUCUCUAGCUCGCACAAGAUAGAUAAAAUUUACUUUAAAUAACUAUAUCUGUCGCAAAUUACUUUCAUUCACAUACCGAAUAAAACAAACAAAUAUUAAUCCGGUAUAAACAACAUCAAAACAAUCGAUUAGUUUGACGUUCGUUAGACACAAAAUCAAGAAAUCUUGCGUUAUGCCUUGUUCAGAUUAAUCGAACUGUUUAUCGAUAUAAUCAUAACAGUCGUGUACCAUUUCGUAUAACGCAUACAUGAUAUAUUUAUAGAAAUUCUCUGCGACAGGUGUUGAAGUACAUUCGUGAGCCACUGCAUGUAUGUAAAAUUAUAAUUAUAAUUAUAAACAUAAUAGAAAUAUUGUAUAUAGAAUAUAUGACAGAAUAUAAAAUACAGAAAAAGUAGAGGUUUGGGGGAACCAAUAUCAACAAGUACGAAACUGUAAAUAGCAGGUCAAGGAAAGAACCUCAACUUCAUUUGAAACUUGCAAGCAUAUUUCAUGUCAGAUCAAGUAACAUGUUACUCAAAUGACUCGAUUAAUGAGUAUAAACGAAGAAACUUGGGAAAAAUAUUUCAAGAGAACCAUGUAAAUGAAAUUUUAUGCCGAUGAAGAAUUUCGAAUUACUUUAGAUUCCUAGAAAAUUCAAGUGACUUGAUAAAUCUGAGCAAGGCUUUAAGGUCGCUAAAAAAAGCUAAUAGAAGGGAGACAAAGCAAAGGGUCGUAGUAACAGGUAAUUUGAAAAGCACAAGGUGGUAAUACGCUGUUGAAUCGUGCAGCAGCUUGGCGCGGGUGACGUGGAAGUAGAAAUCAGUAGCACGAAUGUAGAAGUAGAAAUCGACCGAGGCGCACUGUCUUUGUACGAAAACUUCGUAAUUCCAUUUUUUUUCUCAACGAACGUUUUCCUUAAUGUUAUCUCUAGAUUCAAAUUGACUCGCACAUUUUCUCCUUAAUCAACUACUUCGGCAAAUUUCUACAUCUAAUAGUCCACUUAAUUAUAUCGAUCUAUUUUCAAAUUCAAGAAAUGCUAGUACGGUGUCUGUUCCGAGCGCUCAUCACUGUCAAAAUGGCUACUCAUAUGCACCACAUUUGGAAAGCGACUAUGUUACUGUUAUGUUACUUAGUUGCGUGUAAUCAACUCGUUUGUUGCAUUCUGAGACGAAUUUUAAUAAGAUCUAUAAGAUCGCACUCCUAUUUCAAAAACAUUCUUGCAUGUCACUCGUUUCACUGACUUGAUUUCUGUCAAACUUUUCCUCGCGUAAAUCGUCGAAUCAAACUCUCUAUCGUAAGAAGUACGAGCGUGAAACUCGUAACAAUUUUUAUUGCACAAACACGCUUACUCAACUAUAAGAAUGCGUAGAUAUCCUAAUACCUUGGAUCGUUACUUGUAUAUAUAUCAACUGUUAUAUCACUUACACUCUGAAUUCAAUUUCUUGAACUUAACAACGAAUAAAUUCACUUACAAUUCUUUAUCUAUGUAAAUCAUUCUAUUUCCUAUCUUUGUUAAUAAAAUACGAAUUCAUUAUCUUUUCUUCGCAAGAACGACGGUCUUGUAUUUCUUAAAGAUCAGCCACGAAAUCGAUUACUGACGAAAAGGUUUAAUGUAUAUAUGUAUAUCUAUGUACGUUGUAUAUGUGUAAAAUAAACUCAAUCUAAGAUGAAUAAACACACAGAUGCGUAAAGUCGAUCGAAUACAUACAAUAAGGUUUAGAAGUAAAAAAAAAAAAAAAUGCUCUGUUCUGAAAUCAUAAACGAGAAUUUCUUUGUAUACCGCUUACAUAAAAAGCUUUAUAUUACACAAUAAACGUUCGAGAUGUUGAUUCUUCAAUUCCUUCUGAAAUGUAAGUUUCGGAAUAAAGGUAAAAUUCGGAAUAUUUCUGAUCGAAAUUAAAAUAGGUAUAAAUAUUUAAUAAAUAUUUUUGUAGUGUAACCGAUUAGUACGUUUCAUCUAAAUCAGAAAAUAAAAUGAAGUAUUAAUUUCUCUCGUUUGUAAGACAAUUUUUAGCAAGCUUCGUUUCUUAGUGUAAAAUAAUCUCAUUUUCCGAUUUCUUUCCCUUUUACUUGUUCUCAGUCUAUUGAUUUCUUAAGAUUAGUGUAGAAGUAUGCGCCUGCAUGUCAGGUUGCGACUCAAUGUUAAACAUAUUGGUAAUAACGAAAUUCUUGUAAUGGAUACAAAUAAAAAAAAAAAAAAAUCGUAACAAACAGUUUCCUGUGCUUAAACACUGUACGUACAACGAUUAAGAACGAAAGAAGCAUUCGGCAAAAAACAAGAAAUAAAGAGAAAAACAAUCCUAACGGUGACUAUUCGCACAAAUCGAAACAAUAAAGUCGAUUCCGACCCUCUUUACAUUACAUCGUAUUUUAAUCGUCGUAGUAUAAAUAUUUUCAAUCGAAUAUACAACGCACACGACAAUGACUUCGUCCUCUUUUCUCUUCUGUUUGUUAAUUCUUUGCAAUAAUUCUCACGUACAAUGCACACGUGCUUGAUGAUUAAAAAAUUCAUUAGCCCUAUAUAAAAUUCCCAUAUAGUCACUGCUGGAACUUGCGCUAUCGAUCCCCCGUUCGUUUAUAGGUAAACGAAUCUCCGGUCUACUUCCGUAGUUUCGUAUUUUUCAUACAAUUGAUCCCUUUUAAGAAGAACCAGAUGCAUCGUCCUCUCGAUGAAUAAAAAAAACAUAAAAUCUUUGACAGAAUAGGAUCCAACAGGCACGAUUAACGAGUAUUUUCUAACAAUUGCAGCGCACGACACAAAUUCGACAAAGGGCAGUAUUAAGAUUUUCUUUUUUUUCAUAUCAUGCCUCAUACUUUUCCUUUAUAUUCCCAAAAUCUUAACGUUUCAAGAAUACAUAUAUGUACAUAUGCUUUGGCAAACGUCCUCUUUCCUUUUCCUUUUUUAAUUAAAUGAACUACUAUGUUUUUCGUACUUCGUGUUAUUUACGUCAUACGUAGCAUCAUUUCCAACCAAGAAAGAACUCGAGCGAAGAUUGAUCGCAAAACACGCGGUCAAAUUUCACUUGAGUUAGCCGUAACAUCGCAAAAUCAUUUUACCCAUGUGUGAUAUACAUCCACGGUGAGAAGGAUCAUCCAACGAAAUGGAUCCAUUUUCUACGUGUAUCGCAAGAAACUGGGUAAAUGAAUUGCUCGCAAAGAUUCGUCGUAAACAUUAUUCUCGAUACGAUAAAGUAGAAUAAUCAAAAUAUAUCAAACAAUUCAUUCUGAUUCUCUAUAUACAAAGUUCCUUGAUCGAUUAUCGUACUAAUAAGCACGAUACCAGAUAGAUUAACGUGAACAAACAGAGAUAUAAAAAUUAAUAGUACUGUACAAUUAAAGGAAAUAAAGAAGAUAAAAAGGGAAAACGAAAGGAAAUAUUUUAUACAAAUAUGCUUCUUUACAUCUAGGACGAGCGUUAGCCACACAUGCUCGUUUUGAAUACGCAUCAAAGAAAUCCUCUACAAUGUCCUCGGACUAUAUAGACGCGCAGUAAGCAAUCAUACAUUGUAUAUAUUUGGCGUGAACCUUUGAUUCGUAUUGUUGAACGUUUAUUUACUAAAAAUAUAUCCGUAUCUCGAUAAAAAAAACAAUCUAUCAAU